GGAACUAUUAAACUCUCCUAUUUUGUUUUUUAUUGGUGAGAUUGUUGAUAUCAUUAAGCCUUUAUGAUUGGUGGCUUGGGUUGAACUUUAAUAUGAUAAUAUCUCUUCCAAGCUGGGAGAAGCAUAGAGUGUAACCAUGCACAAAAACAUUAACUUACUUGCAUCUACACUUUUUAUACUUUCUAAUAAUGUUUUGGGUGGAAGUAUGUGUUUUUCUUUUUCGAUGUUGGAUUAUAUCUUUAAUUCGGAACACAUUAUGGA
rnacentral:misc_RNA from 1 species